rnacentral:rRNA from 1 species
GACGAACGCUGGCGGCGUGCUUAACACAUGCAAGUCGAACGGAAAGGCCCUGCUUUUGUGGGGUGCUCGAGUGGCGAACGGGUGAGUAACACGCGAGUAACCUGCCCUUGACUUUGGGAUAACUCCAGGAAACUGGGGCUAAUACCGGAUAGGAGCUCCUGCUGCACGGUGGGGGUUGGAAAGUUUCGGCGGUUGGGGAUGGACUCGCGGCUUAUCAGCUUGUUGGUGGGGUAGUGGCUUACCAAGGCUUUGACGGGUAGCCCGCCUGAGAGGGUUGCCGGCCACAUUGGGACUGAGAUACGGCCCAGACUCCUACGGGAGGCAGCAGGGGGAAAUAUUGCACAAUGGGCGGGAGCCUGAUGCAGCAACGCCGCGUGCGGGAUGACGGCCUUCGGGUUGUAAACCGAUUUCGCCUGUGACGAAGCGUGAGUGACGGUAAUGUGUAAAGAAGCACCGGCUAACUACGUG